rnacentral:rRNA from 1 species
AUGCUGCUCUCAACAACCGACCUACGUUAUGUGUACUCUCUCAAGAUUGAGGGAUUGAUUGAAGUUGGGAGAGUACAUGUUAAUGGGAAAGUUUGCUCAAGUACCUGGCUAAGCUGGUCAUCAUCGCCACCUACUUCACCUGUCGACGGUGAUCCUAUAUCCAUAUGCCUACAUCACCUAUACGCCCCUGCUUAUACUCUAACACCAUGGCGUUUCUGGUGUUGUUGGGCUCACCGUGCUCCAAUCCACCAUGAUGUUCAUCCUGCCUGUGAUGUGAUUGAUGCUAAACUGCUAAUCAAAUCGAGGAACUAA